rnacentral:rRNA from 1 species
UAAGUAAGGUGUGAAAGCGUACGGCUCAACCGUAUAACCAUACUUUAAACUGGCGAGCUAGAGGAUGAGAGAGGUUAUUGGAAUUUCUAGUGUAGGAGUGAAAUCCGUAGAUAUUAGAAGGAACACCGAUGGCGUAGGCAGAUAACUGGCUCAUUCCUGACGCUCAGACACGAAAGCGUGGGUAGCAAACAGGAUUAGAUACCCUGGUAGUCCACGCCCUAAACGAUGAGAACUA